ensembl:snRNA U6 U6 spliceosomal RNA
GUGCUCACUUUCGCAACACAAAUACUAAAAUUGGAAUGGUACUGGGAAGAUUAGUAUGUGCCCUACACAAGGAUGACAUGCUAAUUCACAAAGCAUUCCAUAUUUUU